rnacentral:rRNA from 1 species
GACGAACGCUGGCGGCGCGCCUAACACAUGCAAGUCGAACGGAGCGGAGAGAAGCUUGCUUUUCUUAGCUUAGUGGCGGACGGGUGAGUAACGCGUGAGUAACCUGCCUCGGAGUGGGGGACAACAGCUGGAAACGACUGCUAAUACCGCAUAAGCUCACGAUCCGGCUUCGGAUUGAGGGAAAAGGAUUUUUUCGCUUCAGGAUGGACUCGUCUCCACUUCGUUAGUUGGUGGGGUAACGGACCACCAAGGCGACGAAGGGUACCCGGGCUGAGAGGUUGGGCGCACACACUGGCGCUGAGACGCGGCCCAGACUCCUACGGGAGGCGGGAGUGGCGGAUAUAGCACAGUGGCGGGAGCCCUGAUGCACCGCCGCCGCGUAGACGAAGAAGGUUUUCAGAUUCUAAACUCCAGUUGUCAAGGCCGGUCUUGACGGUACCUAAUCAGAAAGCACCGGCUAACUACGUG